ensembl:lncRNA TMEM246-AS1 TMEM246 antisense RNA 1
GGUCUGCUGGGAGACUUCCUGAAACUGCUCUUCCUGGAAGGAGGGAAACAAACAAAACAACAACAAAAGAACUUUACAAGAGAAAGCUUUUUAUCCCAGCCCCUUCCUACUCCCAUUGAAUGCAGCUCUGUGAGGACACGAUAUUUGAAGCUGCAGUAGCUGAGGUGGCAAAAGAUGGCAGAACAGAAGAGCAGACAGAAUCUGGGUCCUAGAUGACUUCAUUGCACUGCUGCAACUGCCUUCUCCAGACCUCUUGCCAGGUGAGAAAAUUAAAUGUCAUCAUUGCUUAAGCCCCUGGGAGACUAGAUUCUGUUACUUGCCACUGAAUGCAUCCUAAUGCUGUAACUGUCUCUUGCACUGAAACCAACUUGCAAAAUUUACAGCACAAACUCUGCCCAUGUAUGAAGAGAAUGUAAAAAAGCAUUGCAAACAUCUCUUUUGGGAAAAUAAAUGGAUAACACCAUUUUUUCUUUUCA